rnacentral:rRNA from 1 species
UACAGAGGAUGCAAGCGUUAUCCGGAAUGAUUGGGCGUAAAGCGUCUGUAGGUGGCUUUUUAAGUCCGCCGUCAAAUCCCAGGGCUCAACUCUGGACAGGCGGUGGAAACUACCAAGCUGGAGUACGGUAGGGGCAGAGGGAAUUCCCGGUGUAGCGGUGAAAUGCGUAGAGAUCGGGAGGAACACCAGUGGCGAAGGCGGCCUUCUGGACCAGCACUGACACUCAAGCACGAAAGCGUGGGGAGCAAACAGG